UGGAGGCAGCAGUAAGGAAUAUUGCACAAUGGGCGCAAGCCUGAUGCAGCAAUGCCGCGUGAGUGAUGAAGGCCUUCGGGUCGUAAAACUCUUUUCUGAGGGAAGAAUGGUUGGGAUAGGAAAUGAUCCCGGCGUGACGGUACCUCAGGAAUAAGCAACGGCUAACUCCGUGCCAGCAGCCGCGGUAAUACGGAGGUUGCGAGCGUUGUUCGGAAUUACUGGGCGUAAAGGGAGCGCAGGCGGUUCGGUAAGUCUGGAGUGAAAGCACGGGGCUCAACCCCGUCGGGUCUCUGGAUACUGCCGGACUUGAGUACGUGAGAGGAGAGCGGAAUUCCAGCUGUAGCGGUGAAAUGCGUAGAUAUCUGGAGGAACACCGGUGGCGAAGGCGGCUCUCUGGCACGAAACUGACGCUGAGGCUCGAAAGCAUGGGGAGCGAACGGGAUUAGAUACCCGGGUAGUCC
rnacentral:rRNA from 1 species